rnacentral:lncRNA from 1 species
CUUUCCUCCCCUUGUAGGCCUAUCAGUUCCUUACUUCCGGGGUUAAUGAAAGGUCAGACACGAGCGGCAGACAGAACCGAAAGGACAGCUUUGGACGUUUGAUUUGGGCGAGAGCCUCGCCCAACUGGACUCGAGGGCCUGAUGCCAUCCUCCCAGUGAUGUUAAACCACCUCAGUAGAGGUAACCUACCUGGCAGGAACGCAUGGGUGGAGGCUGGCCGUGGUCAUGGUGAUGGAGUGGCUAGGAUGCUGUACACCUCCCACCACUGGACUGCUGACCAUGGGGCCUAACGUCAGACAGACAGACACAGACGGACGGACGGACCUGUGUGUGGUCCCACUCUCAGCUCCAGUGUUGCUGUCCAGAGAGAGCAGGGCUGAGAGGAGCUGGCUGCCUGAAUUGGUGCUGCAGACCUCCUUGACCUCCUCCUGAUUGAGUUCUCCUGGAUGUUUCCAGUGCAGAGCACAUGUUGCCCCUGUCAGAGGUGUAACCGUGGCACCCAAGUCCGUAUGACAGACCUUACGAACACCUGAUGACAUCAUCAUCAUCAUGAUCAUAGUCAUCAUCAUCUCCAUCGCCAUCAUCAUCAAACUGUAGCCCUUCCCUGGGUCAG